GAUCAUAGCAUAGCAACAAGUCAGCUUCUUCUUUGCUUAUGUUCUCACAGAAUUUUGAAAAAAGAGACAUAAGCACUCCUCAUGUUCUGAGUGCGAUUCAAACAUACUAAAACACCAUUCUUUGAAAUAUAUUAGAUACCUGCUGGAAGAGCUAAAAUUGGCAUAUGCAACUUUUGUAUCAGUUUGCUUCAUACAACAUUUAGAUAUAGUGUGUCUGCUGAAAGAAUGAGAUUGUGCCAUUGUUACAAAGUCCAAGGAGAUGUAAGCAGAGGGAUGUGGACCUAUCCGAAGUGAGCAGUCACCAGUGUUCCAGUCAACACUUUUUUUUGUCAGUCUUCAUGAGGUAAUGUGUAGUAUUACAGCACUCCAGUUCAGCUUCCCCACAUCUUUGCCUAUGUUAAAUUAAUAUACAAAAUACAGAGAUUGUCCAGUUCUGGGAUUUGGAAUAAGAAAGGGGGAUUUAGAUUUUAUGAUUGCUGGAGCUAUUUGCUGAGAGAACAUAAUUCAGAUGAGGCAUCCAAGUUCUGAAGAGAGGAGACCUUACACAUGUAAUGGAUAACAAAUAAAUAGUAUUACUAUGAGGCAGAAUGCUGAGAGUACCAUUUCUUCAGACAAAGUGCACAGUCAACUCCUGACAGUCAGCCCAGUGUUCAAAGCAGACUUGAACUGUACAUUGAAUCCAGGAAAAUCUGCUUUCUGUUUGUUAUCUAGUGACAGAAAAGUCAUCAGUUAUUUGAGAAAGAAAAUAUGAAGAUUACUACAGAAGGCAAAAGGAAUUGCACAGCAAAAUAAAGGAAAACAGUGGAAUUCAACAGGACAGAUUUCACUGUGAUCAUCUUUGACAACAUCAUUUUAAAGCAUAAAGGUGAAAUAACUUUUAUUAUAGGUGCAGGAAAUUUUGGUAACACACUGUCUUUGUUUCCAAUUGAUGGAGGCCAGAAAAAACCUUGUCUGACUUCUUUAUGCACAAAAGUAUAAUGUCCUUUUCCCCAGCUCACAGGAAGCACCUCCUAAUGCCUGCUGUCAACUCAUUUGUGAUGCAUAACCGUAGCUGAGAAGUGGCUAAAUUGCCAGUGUUGUAAUGCACACAUUGUUCAAGAUCAUCUAACAGUGUCAGCCUGUGGGAAGAGGAUGGCUUCAGGGUUCUAAUUAAAAGAAAUCUUAGGCAAUUAUGUCAAGUGCUUCCUAUUUGUUUUUUAUUUAAUAAAGAAGGAAUGACACAGA